rnacentral:tRNA from 1 species
GGUCCGGUAGCUCAGUUGGAUAGAGCAACUGCCUUCUAAGCCGUAGGUCGUGGGUUCGAGUCCCGCCCGGACUACCA